UACGUAGGGUGCAAGCGUUAAUCGGAAUUACUGGGCGUAAAGCGUACGCAGGCGGCUUUGCAAGACAGGUGUGAAAUCCCCGGGCCUAACCUGGGAACUGCAUUUGUGACUGCAUAGCUAGAGUCUGUCAGAGGGGGGUGGAAUUCCACGUGUAGCAGUGAAAUGCGUAGAGAUGUGGAAGAACACCGAUGGCGAAGGCAGCCCCCUGGGAUGAGACUGACGCUCAUGUACGAAAGCGUGGGGAGCAAACAGG
rnacentral:rRNA from 4 species